CUUAGCACAAAUUUAUCUUCCACGUAAACAAAAAAAGAAACAACAAGCCAAACAAAAAAACAAAAAACUUCCCUACAUGGAGAUACGAUGAUCUGUUUUCUUCGGUUCGUUGCCUGUUCUUCUUGUCCGUACUCGUCAGUUUUCUUGUUCCCAAGUCGGGGAUGCGUCAUAA
rnacentral:ribozyme from 1 species